rnacentral:rRNA from 1 species
CGUCAAAUCAUCAUGCCCCUUAUGACCUGGGCUACACACGUACUACAAUGGCCGGUACAACGGGAAGCGAAGGAGCGAUCUGGAGCGAAUCCUUUAAAGCCGGUCUCAGUUCGGAUUGCAGGCUGCAACUCGCCUGCAUGAAGUCGGAAUUGCUAGUAAUCGCGGAUCAGCAUGCCGCGGUGAAUACGUUCCCGGGUCUU